GGAAUUUGCUGUUUUCCCAUAACCCAGACGGGUUGCCUGUUAGAGAAACCAAAAAACUCCAACUUUCUGGGAAGACAUCUAAUUAAAUUCCCAAAGAGGGUAGAGGAAAGCCCCCUCUGAAACAGAUAGAAGCACAUAAGACAUGCUCGUCCCAGCAGAGAAAGUGCCCGGGAUCAGCCUGUGACCCGGAAGGAGAACCAUCCCAAUGGGAGGAUGGAAUCCCAGCAGACACCUUUCAUUCUUUCCUGGAGACACCCCCAGCAAGUGAGAAGAUGACGUUAUUAUUUCUUAAUAUAUGGAUUUUUUUUUCUAAUUACAAAGAAACCACACAAAUGACCCGUAGAAAACUUGGAAAACAGGAACACACAAAGAUGGCUGUAAAAAGCCCCCAUAAUCCAAGUUAACCGCGGUUAACAUAUUGGUGUAUUUCCUUCUAUCCUUUUUUUCUUUAAGUAGUAGCCCAAGGCCAUGUGAACGAUCUGGGCUUAAGAUCUAUCUUUUGACUUUAAUUAUGUGUAGUUGGACUCUCUAAGAC
rnacentral:lncRNA from 1 species